GGCGAACGCUGGCGGCGUGCUUAACACAUGCAAGUCGAACGGAAAGGCCCUGCUUUUGUGGGGUGCUCGAGUGGCGAACGGGUGAGUAACACGUGAGUAACCUGCCCUUGACUUUGGGAUAACUUCAGGAAACUGGGGCUAAUACCGGAUAGGAGCUCCUGCUGCAUGGUGGGGGUUGGAAAGUUUCGGCGGUUGGGGAUGGACUCGCGGCUUAUCAGCUUGUUUGUGGGGUAGUGGCUUACCAAGGCUUUGACGGGUAGCCGGCCUGAGAGGGUGACCGGCCACAUUGGGACUGAGAUACGGCCCAGACUCCUACGGGAGGCAGCAGUGGGGAAUAUUGCACAAUGGGCGGAAGCCUGAUGCAGCAACGCCGCGUGCGGGAUGACGGCCUUCGGGUUGUAAACCGCUUUCGCCUGUGACGAAGCGUGAGUGACGGUAAUGGGUAAAGAAGCACCGGCUAACUACGUG
rnacentral:rRNA from 1 species